rnacentral:rRNA from 1 species
AUCUAGGCUCUUGCAUCGAUGAAGAACGUAGCGAAAUGCGAUACUUGGUGUGAAUUGCAGAAUCCCGUGAACCAUCGAGUCUUUGAACGCAAGUUGCGCCCGAUGCCAUUAGGUUGAGGGCACGUCUGCCUGGGUGUCACAUAUCGAAACCCCCUGCCARUUUC